GAACUCUGGAGAGUCUCAUAAGUGAGCGCCGAAGGUGUACAGUUCAGGAAACUGAACUAAUCUCUCAGGCAAAAGGACAGAGCUU
rnacentral:ncRNA from 1 species